rnacentral:rRNA from 1 species
AGAGUUUGAUCCUGGCUCAGAACGUACGCUGGCGGCACGCCUAAUACAUGCAAGUCGAACGAAGUAGCAAUACUUAGUGGCAGACGGGUGAGUAACAUGUAGGUAUCUACCCUUUGGCCUGGAAUAACACGAGGAAACUUGUGCUAAUACCGGAUAAGUCUUUACAGAGAAAGCUUUAUGCACCAUUGGAUGAGCCUGCACUUGAUUAGUUUGUUGGUGGGGUAAUGGCCUACCAAGACAAUGAUCAAUAGCUGAUUUGAGAGGAUGAUCAGCCACAUUGGGACUGAGACACGGCCCAAACUCCUACGGGAGGCAGCAGUAGGGAAUCUUGCACAAUGGAGGAAACUCUGAUGCAGCGAUGUCGCGUGAGUGAAGAAGGCCUUUGGGUUGUAAAGCUCUUUCGUCGGGGAAGAAAAUGACUGUACCCGAAUAAGAAGGUCCGGCUAACUUCGUGCCAGCAGCCGCGGUAAUACGAAGGGACCUAGCGUAGUUCGGAAUUACUGGGCUUAAAGAGUUCGUAGGUGGUUAAAAAAGUUGGUGGUGAAAUCCCAGAGCUUAACUCUGGAACUGCCAUCAAAACUUUUUAGCUAGAGUAUGAUAGAGGAAAGCAGAAUUUCUAGUGUAGAGGUGAAAUUCGUAGAUAUUAGAAAGAAUACCGAUUGCGAAGGCAGCUUUCUGGAUCAUUACUGACACUGAGGAACGAAAGCAUGGGUAGCGAAGAGGAUUAGAUACCCUCGUAGUCCAUGCCGUAAACGAUGUGUGUUAGACGUUGGAAAUUUAUUUUCAGUGUCGCAGCAAAAGCGUUAAGCACACCGCCUGGGGAGUACGACCGCAAGGUUAAAACUCAAAUGAAUUGACGGGGACCCGCACAAGUAGUGGAGCAUGUGGUUUAAUUCGAAGAUACGCGCAGAACCUUACCAACACUUGACAUGUUUGUCGCGACUCUAAGAGAUUAGAGUCUUCGGUUCGGCCGGACAAAACACAGGUGCUGCAUGGCUGUCGUCAGCUCGUGUCGUGAGAUGUUGGGUUAAGUCCCGCAACGAGCGCAACCCCUAUUUUUAGUUGCUACCAUUUAGUUGGGCACUCUAAAAAAACUGCCAGUGAUAAGCUGGAGGAAGGCGGGGAUGACGUCAAGUCCUCAUGGCCCUUACGUGUUGGGCUACACACGUGCUACAAUGGUACUUACAGUGAGAAGCAAAGAGGCGACUCUAAGCCAAUCCCAAAAAGGUACCUCAGUUCGGAUUGUACUCUGCAACUCGAGUACAUGAAGCUGGAAUUACUAGUAAUCGCGGAUCAGCGCGCCGCGGUGAAUACGUUCCCGGGUCUUGUACACACCGCCCGUCACACCAUGGAAGUUGGUUACACCUUAAGGCAAAGCUUAAAACCUUUGACUACGGUAUGGUCAGCGACUGGGGUGAAGUCGUAACAAGGUAACC